AAGAAGUUGGGUUCAUUACCAAUUGACUUUUUAGUAAUGGAGCGGAUUUCUGGCUUGCCAGAAACAACCAGGAGAGCUUUUCGCCCUAUCACGUUGUAGGCAGUGUAGUGGACUGCGUAGCGAAUCACGGGUAACGGGGAAUUAGGGUUCGAUUCCGGAGAGGGAGCCUGAGAAAUGGCUACUACAUCCAAGGAAGGCAGCAGGCGCGAAAAUUACUCAAUACCACAACGGUGGAGUAGUGACCUUCAGUGCUAAUCUUCCGCUCCUUUUGGGGUGGCAGAAUUGGAAUGAGAGUUGGGUAAAUAUUAGACUCGAAUCAAGUGGAGGGCAAGUCUGGUGCCAGCAGCCGCGGUAAUUCCAGUUCCACGCGCGUAUUUUUAUGUUGUUGCGGUUAAAAAGCUCGUAGUUGGAUUUUGGUUGCUACGGGGUUCUGCGUGUGUGAAUAACGCGCGCGGGGUCUUUGUAGUGACGACUUUAUGAGGGGGUCAAACCCCUCAGCCCAGAUUUUGAAGAAAUCAGAUCGCUCCAAGAAUCUUGUAUAAGAGGAAUAGUCCAGCAUGCUACCUGAAUAUAGAUCUCUCUGCAUUUAGGCGCACCCGCUUGGACCCAACGCGCCACAGAAAGAAAUGAUCGACAAGAAGGCUUGGGAGCGUCUCUAUUUCGAAUACAGAGGUGAAAUUCUUGGACAUUCGAACGAGAAACUGAUGCGAAAGCGCCCGCUAAGAACCUCUCUUUUAAUCAAGAACGAAAGUUGGGGGAUCAAAGACGAUCAGAUACCGUCGUAGUCUCAACUAUAAACGAUGCUGACUGUAGGAUCGGUCGUGGUCUGUUCUUAAGGACUCGAUCGGCACUCACGGGAAACUUGAAGUUUUCGAGUUCCGGGGGGAGUAUGGUUGCAAGGCUGAAACUUAAAGGAAUUGACGGAAAGGCACCUCCAGGAGUGGAGCCUGCGGCUUAAUUUGACCCAACACGGGAAAACUUACCAGGUCCAGACAAGGUGAGGAUUGACAGCUUACAGAGCUUUCUUGAUUCUUUGGGUAGUAGUGCAUGGCCGUUCUUAGUUGGUGGCGUGAGUUGUCUGCUUAAUUGCGUUAACGAACGAGACCUGAAUGUUGUUAAUUGGGCCGGCUUGCCGUGUUGCAAGUCCGGACCACUUAAACAGACUAUCGAUGUUGAGUCGGUGGAAGCUUCAGGCAAUAACAGGUCCGUGAUGCUCUUCGAUGUUCUGGGCCGCACGCGCGCGACAUUGAGUGUGACAACGUGUAUCGAAAGAGGCAAGUCAGACAUGACUAGCUACUCAUACAAUCACUUAAAUUCAACUCGUCGUUGGGAUUGAAGUUUGGAAUUAUUCUUCAUGAACUUGGAAUUCCUUGUAUACGCUAGUCAUCGACUAGCAUAGAAUACGACCCUGCCUUUUGUACACACCGCCCGUCGCUGUUACCGAUGUAUUGGUCGAUGAGGUUCUCGGACGAGGGCUUGGAUGGGAAACUGUCCUUGUUAGCGAAAGAGAAACAAAUCUGCCUGUAUAGAGGAAGCAAAAGUCGUAACAAGGUU
rnacentral:rRNA from 1 species